rnacentral:rRNA from 1 species
CGCGACGACGUGCCGGCAGCCGGAGGAAUAGGUAGGGUGCAUGGUUUGGCCGGUAUAUGUGGGGGUAGAGGGCGCGUAGAGGGUCCAUCGCGUCGGGAGUGAAAAGCUGGGGCUUAACCCCAGUCCUGCUUCCGAUACGGGUGGACUAGAGGUAGGCAGGGGAGAACGGAAUUCCUGGUGUAGCGGUGAAAUGCGCAGAUAUCAGGAGGAACACCGGUGGCGAAGGCGGUUCUCUGGGCCUUACCUGACGCUGAGGAGCGAAAGCGUGGGGAGCAAACAGGAUUAGAUACCCGAGUAGUC